rnacentral:rRNA from 1 species
GACAGAGGAUGCAAGCGUUGUCCGGAAUUAUUGGGCGUAAAGAGCGUGUAGGCGGCCCGAUUAGUCCGCUGUGAAAGUCCAGGGCUCAACCCUGGAAUGCCGGUGGAUACUGUCGGGCUAGAGUCCGGAAGGGGCGAGUGGAAUUCCUGGUGUAGCGGUGAAAUGCGCAGAUAUCAGGAGGAACACCGAUGGCGAAGGCAGGUCUCUGGGCCAUACUGACGCUGAGGAAGCGAAAGCAUGGGGAGCGAACAGG